CUUUUCCAGUGACCCGCUUUAUGUUUUGCAUUGCUGUUUUAACACCGCGUUUCCAUUGUCUCUCGCUUGAACAAAACCUCGCGAACCCCAUGCAAUCUCCCAACCCCGUCAGAAAGAAACCCGCAAUACCCACAGAAAUACGGCAAUUCCUCCCCCAGUGUCACUGGUAAUACUUUUCUGUUUAAUUUCAAACUGCAGAUUCUGGCAAAGCAGUCAAAACGCAGCCUCGGCCAACAAGCACUCCGCUGCGGUUUAACACACCAGACUUAGAACAUGAAGAGCUCGAUAAGAUGUGUGCAGCGUUUAGUCGAAAGCAAUCCCUCCUCGAUAAAAGGAGCAAAACGGCGAAAGAGUCUCCCAAUGCACAAGCAAAACCUUGCUGCAAAAAAAAACCUGAAAUAUUUGCGCUGGGAGUUUGGGGAGCUCAGGGCGCUUGCCUGCGAUUCUUACCGUUACUGUACAGAAGCUGCAAUCUGUAGUGAACACCAUUAUUCGUCUUCUCCCCGUUCUGCUCCUGCGGAUAAGGAAUGGACUUUCCACGAAAGCGGUCCUCUCGAUCUCCACGGGCUGCCCUUGCCUGUCGUAGAGAGCGAGAACGAAGUGGAAGAAGUUGGACUUGCGGAGAUUGGAGGGCGGCUGCUUUUCGAAGUGUGACCGGGCCAAGCCCACCCCACUGCGGGCACAGAACAACACACCCGCCGGUUACCAAAGCAAUGCACGGCGCACCUCGGGCUGGUCACUUACACCGAACACUACAAGGAGCUGGAUACAGUUACAUCCUCGGCGGGGGGAAAGA